rnacentral:rRNA from 1 species
CCCCGGGCUCAACCUGGGAACUGCGUUNUGAACUGGGUAGCUAGAGUAUGUCAGAGGGGGGUAGANUUCCACGUGUAGCAGUGAAAUGCGUAGAGAUGUGGAGGAAUACCGAUGGCGAAGGCAGCCCCCUGGGAUAAUACUGACGUUCAUGCUCGAAAGCGUGGGUAGCAAACAGGAUUAGAUACCCUGGUAGUCCACGCCCUAAACGAUGUCGAUUAGCUGUUGGGCAACUUGAUUGCUUAGUAGCGUAGCUAACGCGUGAAAUCGACUGCCUGGGGAGUACGGUCGCAAGAUUAAAACUCAAAGGAAUUGACGGGGACCCGCACAAGCGGUGGAUGAUGUGGAUUAAUUCGAUGCAACGCGAAGAACCUUACCUGGUCUUGACAUGUACGGAAGAACUCAGAGACGAGUUUGUGCCUUCGGGAGCCGUAACACAGGUGCUGCAUGGCUGUCGUCAGCUCGUGUCGUGAGAUGUUGGGUUAAGUCCCGCAACGAGCGCAACCCUUGUCAUUAGUUGCCAUCAUUUAGUUGGGCACUCUAAUGAGACUGCCGGUGACAAACCGGAGGAAGGUGGGGAUGACGUCAAGUCCUCAUGGCCCUUAUGACCAGGGCUUCACACGUCAUACAAUGGUCGGUACAGAGGGUAGCCAAGCCGCGAGGUGGAGCCAAUCCCAGAAAACCGAUCGUAGUCCGGAUUGCACUCUGCAACUCGAGUGCAUGAAGUCGGAAUCGCUAGUAAUCGCAGGUCAGCAUACUGCGGUGAAUACGUUCCCGGGUCUUGUACACACCGCCCGUCACACCAUGGGAGUGGGGGAUACCAGAAGUAGGUAGGGUAACCGCAAGGAGCCCGC